rnacentral:rRNA from 1 species
GAGCACGUAGGUGGGUUUGUAAGUCAGAUGUGAAAGCCUCCUGUUCAACGGGAGAAUUGCAUCUGAAACUGUGAAUCUUGAGUGUAGGAGGGGAGAAUGGAACUUCUGGUGGAGCGGUGAAAUGCGUAGAUAUCAGAAGGAACGCCGGCGGCGAAAGCGAUUCUCUGGCCUAUUACUGACACUCAGUGUGCGAAAGCUAGGGGAGCAAACGGGAUUAGAUACCCCGGUAGUCCUAGCCGUAAACGAUGGGCACUAAGUAGAGGGGUUUU